rnacentral:tRNA from 4 species
UAGGAAGUGGUGUAGUGGAAGCACCAAGAGUUUUGAUCUCUUUAGGUAGGGUUCGAAUCCCUUCUUUCUAA